AGAGUUUGAUCCUGGCUCAGGACGAACGCUGGCGGUGUGCUUCACACAUGCAAGUCGAACGAGGUAGCAAUACCUAGUGGCGGACGGGUGAGUAACGCGUGGGAAUCUGCCUGAAGAUGGGGGAUAGCUAGCCGAAAGGCUAAUUAAUACCGCAUAUGUAUAUAUUUCGACAGUUUUAUAUAUAAAAGUAGCAAUACGUCUUUAGAUGAGCCCGCGUCCGAUUAGCUAGUUGGUAGGGUAAAGGCCUACCAAGGCGACGAUCGGUAGGUGGUCCGAGAGGACGAUCACCCACAAUGGAACUGAGACACGGUCCAUACUCCUACGGGAGGCAGCAGUGGGGAAUUUUACGCAAUGGGCGAAAGCCUGACGUAGCGACACCGCGUGAACGAAGAAGCCUUUUGGGGUGUAAAGUUCUGUCGGCUGGGAAGAAAAAAAUGACGGUACCAGCAAAGGAAGCAUCGGCUAACUACGUGCCAGCAGCCGCGGUAAGACGUAGGAUGCAAGCGUUGUCCGGAUUUAUUGGGCGUAAAGAGUUCGUAGGCGGUUUGUUAAGUCUGAUGUUAAAGAUCGGGGCCCAACCCCGGGACUGCAUCGGAUACUGGCAGACUGGAGUGUGGUAGAGGUAAGUGGAAUUUCUGGUGUAGCGGUGAAAUGCGUAGAUAUCAGAAAGAACACCAGUGGCGUAGGCGACUUACUGGGCCAUAACUGACGCUGAGGAACGAAAGCCAGGGGAGCAAAUGGGAUUAGAUACCCUGGUAGUCCAA
rnacentral:rRNA from 1 species